rnacentral:rRNA from 1 species
AGUGAACGCUGGCGGUAGGCCUAACACAUGCAAGUCGAACGGCAGCACAGUAAUAUCUUGCUCUUACGGGUUGCGAGUGGCGUACGGUUGAGGUAUACAUCGGAAUCUACUUUUUCGUGUGGGUUAACGUAUGUAAACUUACGCUCAUACCGCAUACUACCUACGGUUUUAUUCAUUGGUUCUUCUGACCUUUCGCGUUUUUAUUUGCCGAUGUCGUAUUAUCUAGUUGUCGGGGUAAAGGCCCACCAAGGCGACGAUCCGUAGCUGGUCUGAGAGGAUGGUAAGCCACACUGGAACGGAGACACGGUCAAGAAGACUAAGGGAGGCAGAAGAGGGGAAGAUUGGACAAUGGGGGCAAGCAUGAUACAGCAAUACCGCGUGGGUGAAGAAGGCGUUCGGGUUGUAAAGACCUUUUGUUGGGAAAGAAAAGCAGAAGGUUAAUACACAGCUGGAGUGACGGUAACCAAAGAAUAAGCACCGGCUAACUACGUG